UACGUAGGGUGCAAGCGUUGUCCGGAAUCACUGGGCGUAAAGCGCACGUAGGCGGACUCUUAAGUCGGUGGUGAAAUCCUGGAGCUCAACUCCAGAACUGCCUUCGAUACUGGGAGUCUCGAGUCCGGGAGAGGUGAGUGGAACUGCGAGUGUAGAGGUGAAAUUCGUAGAUAUUCGCAAGAACACCAGUGGCGAAGGCGGCUCACUGGCCCGGUACUGACGCUGAGGUGCGAAAGCGUGGGGAGCAAACAGG
rnacentral:rRNA from 1 species